UACAUUUUGGUGUAUAGUGCACGAGAACCUUUGAUGUUUUAGGGGAUAGUUUAAUUCUGUUGGAUGUAA
rnacentral:tRNA from 1 species